UUUGUUCCAAGCUGGAAUGUGAAGAAUACAGAAGCCAGCUGCAGCUGCAUGAUGAUAAAAUCACCCAGAGCACUGCGGAACCCUUUUUCGAGGCCGAUUUCCAUUACCAUUGGAAGAACCAUUAAUAACCCAAGCUGAAAGACGGACUGUGUAACCAAUGCCUGUUCGAGGGCCUUGCUCUGAUGUAUGGACAGAUUCUCGAGAGUCUCUCUUUCUAAUCCACUCAUAACCAGGUAAAAACGUCCAUACAAGAACAUAUAAACAGUUAGCACAGUAACCUGAAAGAAGACAGCCUUGGAUUAGUGACAACACAUACUGAAUUAAAUUGGGUCAUAAAUUUUAUAUGAUCGAUAAAUUGAUUGUUUCAGAAGACUAUCAUUGUACAACAACGGUUGGUGCAGAAACUCAAGUAAUAGGUAUCACGAAGACGUGAACUAUAAAUAUAUUGGGAGCUCCUAAGAAACAUUUAACAACAAGACUAGUUUGAUUAACAUACCAUGCUACUAAGAUAGAAUCCAACCGUUGUAAAGUAGAAUGAAAGCAUUCUGAAGAAGUCAAGCCGGUGGCCGAGCCGGUAAACAUCACGACUAAGUGUCUGCUCUCCAUUUCCAUUUGCAACCUUUGCCUCAAAUAAUGAUAUUUGAUUCAUUCCCACAUCACGCCCCUUGCCUACUUGAAUAUAUUCAUGAUGUGUUAUAUAUCCUCCACGGAGAGUUGAAUUCAUGCCUGAAGAUUUCAACACAAUUAGCCAUCAGAAUAGAUUUCUAAGUUGAUAUAUUCUGAGCUAAUUAUUACCUGCAAAUACAUCCUCGCUUAAGUUAAUUGUCUUUGAAGCCUUGCUAAUGCCACCCCUUGUUAUGUGGAAGAUUCGGUCAAAUAUAUCGGAAUGACCAUAAUGAGAGGCCGAUUUCCAUUACCAUUGGAAGAACCAUUAAUAACCCAAGCUGAAAGACGGACUGUGUAACCAAUGCCUGUUCGAGGGCCUUGCUCUGAUGUAUGGACAGAUUCUCGAGAGUCUCUCUUUCUAAUCCACUCAUAACCAGGUAAAAACGUCCAUACAAGAACAUAUAAACAGUUAGCACAGUAACC
rnacentral:lncRNA from 1 species